rnacentral:tRNA from 1 species
GCGGCUAUAGCUCAGUUGGUUAGAGCGCCUGAUUGUGGUUCAGGAAGUCGAGGGUUCGAGCCCCUCUAGCCGCCCCA